rnacentral:rRNA from 1 species
GAUGAACGCUAGCUACAGGCUUAACACAUGCAAGUCGAGGGGCAGCAUGAACUUAGCUUGCUAAGUUCGAUGGCGACCGGCGCACGGGUGAGUAACACGUAUCCAACCUGCCUUCAACUCAGGGAUAGCCUUUCGAAAGAAAGAUUAAUACUUGAUGGCAUAACCUGGUCUCCUGACUUGGUUAUUAAAGAAUUUCGGUUGAAGAUGGGGAUGCGUUCCAUUAGGCAGUUGGCGGGGUAACGGCCCACCAAACCUACGAUGGAUAGGGGUUCUGAGAGGAAGGUCCCCCACAUUGGGACUGAGACACGGCCCAG